rnacentral:rRNA from 1 species
GUGCCAGCAGCCGCGGUAAUACGGAGGAUGCAAGCGUUAUCCGGAUUCAUUGGGUUUAAAGGGUGCGUAGGCGGCCUUUUAAGUCAGUGGUGAAAUCCUGCCGCUUAACGGUAGAAUUGCCAUUGAUACUGAAAGGCUUGAGUCCAGUUGAGGUAAGCGGAAUGUGUAGUGUAGCGGUGAAAUGCUUAGAUAUUACACAGAACACCAAUUGCGAAGGCAGCUUACUAAACUGGCACUGACGCUGAUGCACGAAAGCGUGGGGAGCGAACAGGAUUAGAUACCCGUGUAGUCC